UACAGAGGUCCCCAAGCGUUGUUCGGAUUCACUGGGCGUAAAGGGUGCGUAGGUGGUCGAGGUAAGUCGGAUGUGAAAUCUCCGAGCUCAACUCGGAAAUGGCAUUGGAAACUACCUUGCUCGAGGGUUGGAGGGGGGACUGGAAUGCUUGGUGUAGCAGUGAAAUGCGUAGAUAUCAAGCGGAACACCAGUGCGAAGGCGAGUCCCUGGACAACGUCCUGACACUGAGGCACGAAAGCUAGGGGAGCAAACAGGAUAGAACCUUGUAGUC
rnacentral:rRNA from 1 species